UACGUAGGGUGCAAGCGUUGUCCGGAAUUACUGGGCGUAAAGCGCACGUAGGCGGCUAUUCAAGUCGGGGGUGAAAGCCCGGGGCUCAACCCCGGAACUGCCCUCGAAACUAGAUAGCUAGAAUCUUGGAGAGGCGAGUGGAAUUCCGAGUGUAGAGGUGAAAUUCGUAGAUAUUCGCAAGAACACCAGUGGCGAAGGCGGCUCACUGGCCCGAUACUGACGCUGAGGCACGAAAGCGUGGGGAGCAAACAGG
rnacentral:rRNA from 1 species